AGCGAACGCUGGCGGCAUGCUUAACACAUGCAAGUCGCACGGUUGGGGGCAACUCCGGCAGUGGCGGACGGGUGAGUAACGCGUAGGAAUCUAUCCUUGGGUGGGGGACAACCGUGGGAAACUACGGCUAAUACCGCAUGAUGCCUGAGGGCCAAAGACGAAAGUCGUUUGAGGAGGAGCCUGCGUCUGAUUAGGUAGUUGGUGGGGUAAAGGCCUACCAAGCCCUACGAUCAGUAGCUGGUCUGAGAGGAUGAUCAGCCACAUUGGGACUGAGACACGGCCCAAACUCCUACGGGAGGCAGCAGUGGGGAAUAUUGGACAAUGGGCGCAAGCCUGAUCCAGCAAUGCCGCGUGGGUGAAGAAGGUCUUCGGAUUGUAAAGCCCUUUUGGCGGGGACGAUGAUGACGGUACCCGCAGAAUAAGCUCCGGCUAACUUCGUG
rnacentral:rRNA from 1 species